rnacentral:tRNA from 2 species
GCCCGGGUAGCUCAAUCGGUAGAGCGUGUGGCUCUUAGUGCGAUGUAGUUCUCAUGGUGACCUCAAGGUCGCGGGUUCGAGCCCCGCCUCGGGCU